AUGCCCCCCAUCUCUCCUAAAUCGCCGCCACCAACCACAUCGUCCCCCACCUCCUCCCACCUCGCCGCCGGCCCUCCCCUCCUUUCCUUCUCCUCCCACCUCGCAGCUUCGGAGGCUACCGGAUCCGCUGCAUCCCCCACCCACCCAUCCCUCUCACAUCCCAUCUCUCCCUCUUGACGCAGCUCUUCGUUGCACCACCUGCGGCGGCUCAUUCAGGCGGUUUCUGGCGAAUCCCGCCGUCGCGAAGCACAGCCCGAGGUCACCUCACACCGCGGCGCCCUCCCAUCCGGCUAGAUCCGGCGCUCGUGGCCACCAAAUCCUACCCGCGACCCAUGGCUAGGGUUUCGGGCGUCGGUUCCGGCGCCGGUGGCCCUGUCGUCCUGCUCUCGUCCGACGUCUAGGUAUGCAUCCCCGAUUCUAUUGCAGCUAAUCUGUGUCAAAAGUGUUUGGCCCUUGUGCAAUUCAUUGACGAAUAGUGGUAAGGCUGCAGACUGGCUUCCAAUCUCCGUUGAUUACAUUCAUACACUGAUUGAUAUUCUAUUAAAUUAGUAAUUAUUAGAUAUCAAUGGAGCAUCAAAUUUUUAAAAAAUUCUUAUACGCUGCUAACUCAUCAAUCCUUGCUAGAUGAGUCGGUAAUCCUUUCAGCUUUUUUAUGUAGAUAAGCACUACUUCAUAUAUAAGGACUCCAUAUCAAAUAGUCUAUUGCAAGAGUAAUAGUAUUUUAGGAGGGAUCCAGUAUUAAUAGGUCUCUGUAUGGCACUUCUAAUGAGUUACUAAUCAAUGUUUUUGUUGCAACUUCACACUUUUCAUGAGUCUGAUGGUCAGGAUAUUUAGGUGGAGGUAGUAGCUUUCUAAUGGUGGCCCUCAUGUCCAGCUCAAAUACUAGACAACAUGGACCUGUUGGGAGAAGCACGUACACCUUGGUUUUAGUGAGCAGAAUUUGGAUUAUAUCUUGUCAUUGUUGUUGGGAUCUAUUGGAUUCUUGUGGUUGUUACUAGGUAGGAAGCUCUUCUUACUUCAACAGAAUCAGGGACCCCUUCUUUCAGAUUCAGUUAAUCAUCUUGCUUGUCAUUCAUUAAGUAGAGGCUCACUGUCUGUGUGUGUGUAGGUUUCCAAAGAAACAAAUACUCAACACCAUUUGGUGGUUUUCAGUGUGCCAAUCUCUACAUUCAUAGUACAUCAUUGAGUUUUACCUUCAACUAAGACUGUUUCCGUGUGGUGAUUAUUUAUUUAUUCCUUUGUUGCUUAGAUUAGCUCUAACCAUUUUGCAGCCUUUUUCUGCUCUUAUUCAACUACUUAUUUAUGUACUCCUAUCUUGCAAAUGGUUUACUUAUUAUUGUGUGUAAUUUAAUGUGAGGCGCCGCACUCAUUCGCUCCGGCACUAUCAAGAUGGAGGCCAACAUAUCAUGGACGGCUGGAGCUAUGAUUAGAUUUGUCCAAGAUACAGCAGUGAUCCUAGUCAUUAUUCUGAUUCAGAAGAUAUAUGGAUGAUUAUAUGGCUACGUGGCAAGUAUACUGCAAUGAUGAUGAUGUACUGGAUCACCAUGAUGAUGAUGGACGCUUUCAGUUUUAGUUAAGUUGUAGCGAUAUUGUUCUUGUUGGAUGAUGUUCCUCGGUUAAGUUUUAAUUAAGUUGUAGGGAUAUUGAUGGAUGCUUUCAGUGAAGUCAAGAAAAUAUUUAGAUUAUUCAUCACAUUUGGAUGAUGCUCCUCCUGUAAUAUCAACUAUUGUAAUCCAACAAUUUUUUUCAAUAUAUGAAUUAUUAUUCCGCUCA